AACGAACGCUGGCGGCAUGCCUAACACAUGCGAGUCGAACGAGAUCUUCGGGUCUAGUGGCGCACGGGUGCGUAACGCGUGGGAAUCUGCCCUUUGGUUCGGAAUAACAGUUGGAAACGAGUGCUAAUACCGGAUGAUGACGAAAGUCCAAAGAUUUAUCGCCAGAGGAUGAGCCCGCGUAGGAUUAGCUAGUUGGUGUGGUAAAGGCGCACCAAGGCGACGAUCCUUAGCUGGUCUGAGAGGAUGAUCAGCCACACUGGGACUGAGACACGGCCCAGACUCCUACGGGAGGCAGCAGUGGGGAAUAUUGGACAAUGGGCGAAAGCCUGAUCCAGCAAUGCCGCGUGAGUGAUGAAGGCCUUAGGGUUGUAAAGCUCUUUUACCCGGGAUGAUAAUGACAGUACCGGGAGAAUAAGCUCCGGCUAACUCCGUGCCAGCAGCCGCAGUAA
rnacentral:rRNA from 1 species